rnacentral:rRNA from 1 species
UGGAGUAACACGUGGGCUCAACCUGCCUGUAAGACUGGGAUAACUCCGGGAAACCGGGGCUAAUACCGGAUGCUUGUUUGAACCGCAUGGUUCAAACAUAAAAGGUGGCUUCGGCUACCACUUACAGAUGGACCCGCGGCGCAUUAGCUAGUUGGUGAGGUAAYGGCUCACCAAGGCAACGAUGCGUAGCCGACCUGAGAGGGUGAUCGGCCACACUGGGACUGAGACACGGCCCAGACUCCUACGGGAGGCAGCAGUAGGGAAUCUUCCGCAAUGGACGAAAGUCUGACGGAGCAACGCCGCGUGAGUGAUGAAGGUUUUCGGAUCGUAAAGCUCUGUUGUUAGGGAAGAACAAGUACCGUUCGAAUAGGGCGGYACCUUGACGGUACCUAACCAGAAAGCCACGGCUAACUACGUGCCAGCAGCCGCGGUAAUACGUAGGUGGCAAGCGUUGUCCGGAAUUAUUGGGCGUAAAGGGCUCGCAGGCGGUUCCUUAAGUCUGAUGUGAAAGCCCCCGGCUCAACCGGGGAGGGUCAUUGGAAACUGGGGAACUUGAGUGCAGAAGAGGAGAGUGGAAUUCCACGUGUAGCGGUGAAAUGCGUAGAGAUGUGGGAGGAACACCAGUGGCGAAGGCGACUCUCUGGUCCUGUAACUGACGCUGAGGAGCGAAAAGCGUGGGGAGCGAACAGGGAUUAGAUACCCUGGUAGUCCACG